rnacentral:rRNA from 1 species
UAAUACGAACUGUGCGAACGUUAUUCGGAAUCACUGGGCUUACAGGGUGCGUAGGCGGCUUUUCAAGUCAGGUGUGAAAGCCCCCGGCUCAACCGGGGAAUUGCGCUUGAAACUGGAGAGCUCGAGUCAGCUAGAGGUGCACGGAACUUCCAGUGGAGCGGUGAAAUGUGUUGAUAUUGGAAGGAACACCGGAGGCGAAAGCGGUGCACUGGGGCUGGUCUGACGCUGAGGCACGAAAGCCAGGGUAGCGAACGGGAUUAGAUACCCCGGUAGUCCUGGCCGUAAACGAUGAGUGCUGGACGGGAGGGGGUUCGCCCUUUCCGGUCGGAGCGAAAGCGGGAAGCACUCCGCCUGGGGAGUAUGGUCGCAAGGCUG